GUUGUUAGGACAUUCCAUAAUAACUAUGGCUGAUAGUUUCCUUGGCUCAAGCUUCACACCUUGAUCUGAGAACACAAGGCCCAUAAAGACUCUGAAGCAUGGGAAACAACUUCAGUGCCUUUUCAUUCAGCUAUUACAAACUACACACACACACUGUAAACUAGACUACACCCACUUCCCAGCAUUUCCCAUGGUUCUAUGGACAGCCAUUGAAGAUUUAGGCUUUCAGAUCAAAAUGCCUGGUCACAUUUCCACCAGUCAAGAAGCCAAGAUCUUUCUACAAUACUCCUUUUCUGUACCCAUGUGUCCCUUUUAGGAUUGCCAGAUGAUGAGGUGUUGCAGCACUUCAGACUGCCACCUCAUCUCAUCUUAGAAAUCAUACGGACAUUCCUACAGUAAUUCCACCACUCACACAGUUCUUGGCUGUGUUACAGUUUGUACUUCAGGGUCCUUUCAAAUCCCUGCUAAAGUUGAGGCUGGUAUUUCUCAGCCGUCCUUUAGUAAGAUCCUGAAGCACUUUACAAUUGCUUUCUUGACCCACCUCAGUCAAUUUAUAUGCAUGUCUUUGGAUGAGGAGGCCCAAGCUGUGGAGAAGCAGCAAUUUCAGGCAAUUGCUGGCUUCCCGCACAUUGUAGGGGAUGUGAAUGGCACCCAUAUUCAAUUAUUACCACCAAAACAUAAUCAACAUAUUUAUAUAAAUUGCAAAAGGUAUUAUUCAUUAAUGUAAUGGUGGUAUGUGGUGCAUCCCCGCAGAUUCUGGCCAUGAAUGCCAAACUCCCUGGAUUGUCACAUGAUUCUUACAUUGUCCGGGACUCAGGGAUCUAGAAGAAAUUAGCAUCGAUUCAAGGUGGAGAAGCAUAGCUGUUGGCAAUAAGGACACAUGUACCAUGGGAUGGCCCAUAUGAUGCACCUGAGGAUGAGGAUUUAGUGGAAGGAUGCCAGGACUCAGAAAGUGGGGGAGAUUUCCGCCAAUAUGUUGUGGAUCGAUAAUUCCAGUUAGUAUAAUGUUUAAUAUUGGUACAUAACUGAUAUUUUUUUCAUUUUGUCAUUAAACCUACCUUUUUUUGUUUUCUUUAACAAAAUAUAACAUAAAUGAAUUUUUACUUUUAUUUGGAAAAUGUGUAGAAUUGUGGUUCUCUCUUGACCAAAAUCUGUUGUUAAAAUAAUGGCCACAACAUAUCUAAUGUG